UUGCUAUAUAUAUAUAUAGCCUAGUAAUCGAAAGAUGUAUGAGGAGAAAUUCUUUCUCCCAUUUUUUGUUCCCUUUCUUUUUUUGUGGCGUUUAAAUCAUAUUCUAGAUUGAAGUUCCUUAUGUCCAGUCUUGUGUAUCUGACUUAAGUGUAGCUAGAAUUCACAUCUAUACUUGUGAGUCAUAAAUUUUAAUUUUAUGAACCUGUAAAGUUUGUUAGCAUGUGAUCUGUUAUACAUGCUAAAAAAUUACUCUUAAUUAUAAGAGUACUUAAAUGUAUCACAGAGGAGAAAAACAAAUUAAAAUGACUAUUUGGGCCACUGAAACUAUUUACUUUGUUAAAUAGAUGAAAAAGAAGGGAAACUUAAAGAUGGCUGUAUUUACAGCUACCUUAUUUUAAAGUUUUAUUUGCACAUUUACUUUGAAUUCUUAUUUUCAGAGGAGCUGGUUUCUCUCAGAAGACUGUUUGUGAUAAAUUCUUUUCUGUUUACUUCAAAAUUAUUUUAGAGCUAUCCUGUAAUCAUAGAUUUUUGAGGGAAAAAUAGAUCAUAUGCUAUAAAAAUAAAUAUAUAACAUUCUUCUUAUGUACAAAUAAUGUGACAGUCUCGUUUGAUCAAAUUAAAAUUAUAAAACUUAACAUCUUAAAUAGAAUUGUGGUUUGUAUCUUCCACAUAACAGCACAGACACCAAAAUUUGUUUUUUUUUAAUUUCAGAUGAUAGGAUUAGAGUGUGCAGAAACCUUGCCUGUGAGUUUAGAAAGGGCUUUUGAUUUUACUUUUUUUUUUUUC
rnacentral:lncRNA from 1 species